AUUGCUUUGGCAGAUAAGUGCAAUAAAUUUAGAAUUUAUUAAUGUAGUUGAUAUUACAAGUAAUA
rnacentral:tRNA from 1 species